rfam:Oryza nivara chromosome 5, whole genome shotgun sequence.
GCUAAGUGCAGUUUUAGCACUAUUCAUGUUCAACGUUUGACCAUUUGUCUUAUUUAAAAAAAGAUUAUGAUUAAUAUUGUUAUUGUUAUUAGAUGAUAAAAUAUGAAUAGUACUUGAUGUGUGACUAAUUUUUUUAAUAUUUUUUAUAUUUUUUUUCAAAUAAGACAGAUGGUCAAAGUGCUAAACACGAAUAUCUAUGGCUGCACUUAUU